GCGAGAUCUAGGGUUGCCAGAGUCCAUGGAAGAGCCGCAAACUGUACCACCAAGGUAUAACACUAGGAGACAACAUCAACCUUGGCAACCUCGGUGAUGGAAGAAAUGACAAAAUCUAUAAAUGCUUACCUCGAGUACAACAUCACGUGAAACUAUGAAUACAGGAAGGUGAUGACCCAUCUAGCCAAGCAAUUCAACAUAGAGUCAUUUCGAUGCCUGCAACCUCUAGCAUUUUGGACAACCC
rnacentral:lncRNA from 1 species